rnacentral:rRNA from 1 species
GACGAACGCUGGCGGCGUGCCUAAUACAUGCAAGUAGAACGCUGAAGGAGGAGCUUACUUCUCUGGAUGAGUUGCGAACGGGUGGGUAACGCGUAGGUAACCUGCCUGGUAGCGGGGGAUAACUAUUGGAAACGAUAGCUAAUACCGCAUAAGAGUAGAUGUUGCAUGACAUUUGCUUAAAAGGUGCAAUUGUAUCACUACCAGAUGGACCUGCGUUGUAUUAGCUAGUUGGUGGGGUAACGGCUCACCAAGGCGACGAUACAUAGCCGACCUGAGAGGGGGAUCGGCCACACGGGGACUGAGACACGGCCCAGACUCCUACGGGAGGCAGCAGUAGGGAAUCUUCGGCAAUGGACGGAAGUCUGACCGAGCAACGCCGCGUGAGUGAAGAAGGUUUUCGGAUCGUAAAGCUCUGUUGUAAGAGAAGAACGGGUGUGAGAGUGGAAAGUUCACACUGUGACGGUAUCUUACCAGAAAGGGACGGCUAACUACGU